CAUGACUUUGGUCUCCGUCCUCAUCUGGACUCUCCUCUGCUGCUUCUUCACAGAGUCCAGAGGCCAGAUCACAGUGACUCAGCCUGGAGCAGUGAGCUCUGCUCUGGGAGCCUCCGUCUCCAUCAGCUGUAGGGUCAGUCCAAAAGUGCAUGUAGGUUCUUCCAGUGGUAAACACUACUUGCACUGGUACCAAAAGAGAGAUGGAGAAACUCCUAAACUGCUAAUUUCCAGGGCUGAUGAGCGACAAUCUGGGAUUCCAGCUCGUUUUACUGGCAGUGGAUCAAACUCUGAUUUCACUCUGACCAUCAGUGGAGUUCAGGCUGAAGAUGCAGCAGUUUACUACUGUCAGAGUGAACAUAAUAUCAACAGUCAAGCUGUGUUCACACAGUGA